rnacentral:rRNA from 1 species
GAUGAACGCUGGCGGCGUGCCUAAUACAUGCAAGUCGAGCGAACAGACGAGGAGCUUGCUCCUCUGACGUUAGCGGCGGACGGGUGAGUAACACGUUGAUAACCUACCUAUAAUACUUGUAUAACUUCGGGAAACCUUAGCUAAUACCGGAUAAUAUAUUGAACCGCAUGUUUCAAUAGUUAAAGACGGUUUUUCUUUCACUUAUAGAUUGAUCCGCGCCGCAUUAGCUAGUUGGUAAGGUAACGGCUUACCGAGGCAACGAUGCGUAGCCGACCUGAGAGGGGGAUAGGCCAAACGGGAACGGAGAAACGGUCAAGACUACGACGGGAGGCAGCAGUAGGGAAUAUAACGAAAUGGGAGAAAGACUGACGGAGCAACGCAGAGUGAGUGAUGAAGGUCUUCGGAUCGUAAAACUCGGUUAUUAGGGAAGAAAAAAUGUGUAAGUAACUAUGCACGUCUUGACGGUAACUAAUCAGAAAGCAACGGCUAACUACGUG